rnacentral:tRNA from 1 species
GGGGCUGUAGCUCAGUGGUAGAGCACUUGCCUCGCAGGUAUGAGAACCUGGGUUCGAUCCUCAGCACCA